rnacentral:pre_miRNA from 1 species
GGGGGGAGCACAGGAUCCUGGGCUGUGUCCCCCAGUGCUCUGGGCUCCUGGGCCUGUGCCGCUGGAAUCGUGCUCCCGGGGUUGAGCAGCAACCU